rnacentral:rRNA from 1 species
UACGUAGGGUGCAAGCGUUAAUCGGAAUUACUGGGCGUAAAGCGUGCGCAGGCGGUUUUGUAAGACAGAUGUGAAAUGCCCGGGCUCAACCUGGGAACUGCAUUUGUGACUGCAUGGCUAGAGUUUGGCAGAGGGGGGGUAGAAUUCCACGUGUAGCAGUGAAAUGCGUAGAUAUGUGGAGGAAUACCGAUGGCGAAGGCAGCCCCCUGGGUCAAGACUGACGCUCAUGCACGAAAGCGUGGGGAGCAAACAAGG